UACAGAGGGUGCGAGCGUUAAUCGGAAUUACUGGGCGUAAAGCGUGCGUAGACGGUUAUUUAAGUCGGGUGUGAAAGCCCCGGGCUCAACCUGGGAAUUGCAUUCGAGACUGAAUAGCUAGGGUACGGUAGAGGGAAGCGGAAUUUCCGGUGUAGCGGUGAAAUGCGUAGAUAAUCGGAAGGAACAUCAGUGGCGAAAGCGGCUCCUGGACCAGUACCGACGUCAGGCACGAAAGCCGUGGGGAGCAAACGGGA
rnacentral:rRNA from 1 species